UGAGACACGGCCCAGACUCCUACGGGAGGCAGCAGUGGGGAAUAUUGCACAAUGGGCGAAAGCCUGAUGCAGCGACGCCGCGUGAGGGAUGACGGCCUUCGGGUUGUAAACCUCUUUCAGCAGGGAAGAAGCGCAAGUGACGGUACCUGCAGAAGAAGCACCGGCUAACUACGUGCCAGCAGCCGCGGUAAUACGUAGGGUGCGAGCGUUGUCCGGAAUUAUUGGGCGUAAAGAGCUCGUAGGCGGCCUGUCGCGUCGGAUGUGAAAGCCCGGGGCUUAACCCCGGGUCUGCAUUCGAUACGGGCAGGCUAGAGUGUGGUAGGGGAGAUCGGAAUUCCUGGUGUAGCGGUGAAAUGCGCAGAUAUCAGGAGGAACACCGGUGGCGAAGGCGGAUCUCUGGGCCAUUACUGACGCUGAGGAGCGAAAGCGUGGGGAGCGAACAGGAUUAGAUACCCUGGUAGUCCACGCCGUAAACGUUGGGAACUAGGUGUUGGCGACAUUCCACGUCGUCGGUGCCGCAGCUAACGCAUUAAGUUCCCCGCCUGGGGAGUACGGCCGCAAGGCUAAAACUCAAAGGAAUUGACGGGGGCCCGCACAAGCAGCGGAGCAUGUGGCUUAAUUCGACGCAACGCGAAGAACCUUACCAAGGCUUGACAUAUGCCGGAAACGGCCAGAGAUGGUCGCCCCCUUGUGGUCGGUAU
rnacentral:rRNA from 1 species